rnacentral:lncRNA from 1 species
GGUGUGUAAAAUAGGUGUGUUUAAUAUACAGGUGUUUAAAAUAGAAGGUGUGUUUAAUAUACAGGGGUGUAAAAUAGGUGUGUUUAAUUUUCCAGUGUGUAAAAUAGGUGUGUUUAAUAUACAGGUGUGUGAAAUAGGUGUGUUUAAUAUACCAGUGUGUAAAAUAGGUGUGUUUAAUAUACAGGGGUGUAAAAUACCCGGUAGGUGUGUUUAAUUUUCCAGUGUGUAAAAUAGGUGUGUUUAAUAUACCAGUGUGUAAAAUAGGUGUGUUUAAUAUACCAGUGUGUAAAAUAGGUGUGUUUAAUAUACAGGUGUGUGAAAUAGAAGGUGUGUUUAAUAUACCAGUAUGUAAAAUAGGUGUGUUUAAUAUACCAGUGUGUAAAAUAGGUGUGUUUAAUAUACAUGUGUGUAUAAUAGAAGGUGUGUUUAAUAUACAGGUGUUUAAAAUAGAAGGUGUGUGUAAUAUACAUGUGUGUAAAAUAGGUGGGUGAAAUUAGGAGACCAUUCCUAUGGCGUACUUAAGUCAUGGAAUUCUUUUGUAUAUUUCAACAUAAACAUAUCACUGUUGUUCGAAAGGAACACUGGCGGGACUGGUGUUUCUAACAUGCAGUUUCUAGUUGGGCAUUGCAGACUGCUGUCUAAAACACAG